UGAUCGGCCACACUGGAACUGAAACACGGUCCAGACUCCCACGGGAGGCUGCAGUGGGGAAUUUUGCGCAAUGGACGAAAGUCUGACGCAGCGACGCCGCGUGAGGGAUGAAUGCCUUCGGGUUGUAAACCUCUGUCAAAAAGGAUUAAAGUAUACCUGAUAAUACCAUGUAUAUCUGACUUAACUUUUAAAGGAAGUCCCGGCUAACUACGUGCCAGCAGCCGCGGUAAUACGUAGGGGACAAACAUUACUCGGAUUUACUGGGCGUAAAGGGAGCGUAGGCGGUUUAGUAAGUUAGUGGUGAAUGUCCUCGGCUUAACCGAGGGAUUGCCAUUAAAACUGCUAGACUAGAGGGCAGGAGAGGAAAGUAGAACUCCCAGUGUAGCGGUGGAAUGCGUAGAGAUUGGGAAGAAUACCGGAAGCGAAGGCGGCUUUCUGGACUGUUCCUGACGCUGAGGCUCGAAAGCUAGGGUAGCAAACAGGAUUAGAUACCCUGGUAGUCCUAGCCGUAAACGAUGGAUACUAGACUUUGUGAUUACAGAGUCGUAGUUAACGCGUUAAGUAUCCCGCCUGGGUAGUACGACCGCAAGGUUAAAACUCAAAGGAAUUGACGGGGACCCGCACAAGCAGUGGAGCAUGUGGUUUAAUUCGAUGCAACGCGAAAAACCUUACCUGGGCUUGAACUGUAGGUAUUAGCUACCUGAAAGGGAUAGUGAUCCGACUUUGUCGGAACCUAUAGAGGUGCUGCAUGGCUGUCGGCAGCUCGUGUCGUGAGAUGUUGGGUUAAGUCCCGCAACGAGCGAAACCCUUGUUCUUAGUUGUCAGCGAGUAAUGUCGGAAACUUUAAGAAGACUGCCGGUGAUAAAUCGGAGGAAGGUGGGGGUGACGUCAAGUCAGCAUGGCCUUUAUGUCCAGGGCUACACACGUGCUACAAUGGGUGGUACAGCAGGAAGCAAUACCGCGAGGUGGAGCAAAUCCUCAAAACCAUUCUUAGUUCGGAUUGCAGGCUGCAAUUCGCCUGCAUGAAGCUGGAAUUGCUAGUAAUUGCGGAUCAGCAUUGCCGCAGUGAAUUCGUUCUCGGGUCUUGUACACACCGCCCGUCACAUCACGAAAGCUGGUUAUGCCAGAAGUCAUUCUUCCAACCAUUUGGAGGAAAGUGCCCAAGGCAAGACUGGUGAUUGGGGUGAAGUCGUAACAAGGUA
rnacentral:rRNA from 1 species